rnacentral:rRNA from 1 species
CUAACACAUGCAAGUCGAACGGGGAUUUUGUUUCGGCAGAAUCCCAGUGGCGAACGGGUGAGUAACCGUAGGCAACCUGCCCUCCGGCCGGGGACAACACUCCGAAAGGGGUGCUAAUACCGGAUACGAAGUCUGUGCCGCAUGGUACGGAUUUGAAAGAUGGCCUCUAUUUAUAAGCUAUCGCCGGGGGAGUGGGCCUGCGUCCGA